rnacentral:lncRNA from 1 species
UAUAUCAGGCGUCUUUGAAAUAUUCAUGUUGGCACAGUCCGUGGAUUCAGCCACAUUCGAGUGUUGGCUCGCGACUGCAGCCAACUGCAGUGGACACGGUGACGGGCGCAGCAAGCAUGACGUGUGGGAGCUACUUGUACGCGCAUGCCUCAUUGCUGACGCAACGCGGAACAAAGAAAGAACCCUAAGCAACGAGAAUAUAUCCGCGACCUUGUCUCCUGAAGCUGAAGCAGAACGGGCAACAGUUUGACAACGAAUACCCUUGGUAGCAGGAAUUGUAUAGCUGUACUAUGAAGCCCCCUCUGUAUGAGAUGUUUUCAUCGAACAACUGUUGUGUAAUAAAGGCUCUUCGUG